CUUAAAGGAAUUAGGAAAUGACUACAAUUCAUUGCGGUGUAUGAAAGCUGCAAUGGAAGAGGAAUGCGAAUCCAUGAUAAAGAAAAUGGGGUUUCUCCUUGAAGUCUAUAAGCACAGAAAACAGACCAUCUUACUGAAAAGAAUCCCCCAAAAUUCAAAGCAGCAGGAGGGAAACAAGAUUUAGAAACCAAUUCUGAGAAGUCCUGACAGACAGAAACUUCCACAAAGAGCCUUUAGCAGAUCCUGAACCUGGUACAGCUCCCAUGAAGAACAGCAGCUCGGGAACUCACUCCCUUGCAAGGAGAUGGAGGAGGGAAGGUAAAUGCUGCCCUCGUUUUCAAUUGUAACCAGGUAUUUAAAG